AUAUGCUUAAGUUCAGCGGGUACUCACGUCUGAGUUCAGGUCGAAAGUUCAAAGACGGAACGCCACAAGCCAGGCAUUCCACCGCAGCAUGCAUGUGAAUUGGCUACGCCCGAGUUACGGUGUGUAAAACGCGAAAUAAACUGACAGUUUCGCGCUAGCAUAACCAAAUCCCACAGCCGGGCACAACACUACGCAAGAACACGUCAAACAGACAUGAUCCCACGAGAACAACACGCACAGCAGUGCAUUUUUUGAUAACGACCCUGAACCAGGCGUGCCAAUGGAUGUAACUCCAAUGGCGCAAUGUGCAUUCGAAUGUUUAGUGUUCAAGGUUUCUGCAGUUCGCACUAAUUAUCGCAGUUGGCUGCGUUCUUCAUCGAUCCACGAGCCGAGUGAUCCACCGAUAAGACUAGAAUUUGUUCUUCACACGGAAGUGUGUAAAAAAAUAAUUGAAAAAAGAGAAUUGCUGGCGGUACACGCUAGCACUCAUUAAGUCUUAAACCACAUUGCUCACGCUAAGCAAGGGCACUACCACGUCGUCUCAUCACGGCCACGGACACGCACCCAAGCACACACAGACCACGAGUUACGGCACGUAAGGCCGAGGACAUCACCACAGUCCCCGGUCAGUCUGUAAUGCACUAGGCACAACAACCGCUCAACGACGCACAGACACCAGCAUAUCCGUUUGUUGCCCUACGAGCGUGCUCCCUCCGUUGCUGCAGCAAACCAACCAGCCCGGCGGUCCGCCACCAGCUCAAUGCCACACAGCCAACCAACGGCUUUUACUUGUGCGGCAAGGAGCCAGCAUACCAGCACCAACGUAUGGAAAGCACCCCAACACUCAUGCUCGCAGGGCAGCUGCCCACUCAGCGUCUUCCCAGCGCUCACAGAACAAAUCCAACGGUCUGUGUCCGUCUGCUACCAACAGACAGGGCAUAUGGCGGUGCCCAACGCCAGGUCAACUGGACAGCAGGUAGAUGGUGAAUGGAAUCACUUGGGUAAUGAUCCAGCAGCAGGUUCACCUACGGAAAC
rnacentral:misc_RNA from 1 species